rnacentral:rRNA from 1 species
GGGAAACUGGGGCUAAUUCCCAAUAGGUGAAGAACUCUGGAAUGAGUCUCCGCCAGAAAAGACGCUUACGCCAUGCUUGUAGGCGCCGCCCAAGGAUGGGGCCGCGACCGAUCAGGUUGUUGGUGAGGUAACGGCUCACCAAGCCUUUUACCGGUACGGGCCGUGAGAGCGGGAGCCCGGAGAUGGGCACUGAGACAAGGGCCCAGGCCCUACGGGGCGCAGCAGUCGCGCAAACUUUGCAAUACACGAAAGUGUGACAGGGCUAUCCCGAGUGCCGCCCGCUGAGGGUGGCUUUUACUCAGUUUAGCAAGCUGGGAGAAUAAGGAGAGGGCAAGUCUGGUGUCAGCCGCCGCGGUAAUACCAGCUCUCCGAGUGGUGUGGAUGUUUAUUGGGCCUAAAGCAUCCGUAGCUUGCUGAGUCAGUCCCCUGUUAAACCCAGCGAAUUAAUCGCUGGAGUGCGGGGGAUACUGCUCGGCUAGGGGACGAGAGAGGCAGACGGUAUUCUCGGGGUAGGGGUGAAAUCCUAUAAUCCCGGGAAGACCACCAGUGGCGAAGGCUGUCUGCUAGAACGCGCCCGACGGUGAGGGAUGAAAGCUGGGGGAGCGAACCGGAUUAGAUACCCGGGUAGUCCCAGCUGUAAACUAUGCAGGCUAGGUGUUUGAGCGGCCACGUGCCGCUCUAGUGCCGCAGGGAAGCUGUUAAGCCUGCCGCCUGGGGAGUACGGUCGCAAGAUUGAAACUUAA